UGGUGUAUUUCUUCCUCUGGCUCUCGUGCCUUCCCCAGACAUCUCACACCGCCGCCGCCGCCGCCGCCGAGGGUUAGGGUUUGUGGCCGGAGAUCCCUCGAUUGGAUUGGAGCGGCCGGCGCGGCGUGGUCGAAUCGAAUCGAAGAGAAGCGAUAGAGAUGGACGCGCAGCGUGCUCUGCUGGACGCGCUGAUGGGGUCGUCGCGGGACCUGACGGAGGAGGAGAAGAAGGAGCACCGGGAGGUGGCGUGGGACGACCCCGACGUGUGCGCCCCCUACAUGGCCCGCUUCUGCCCCCACGACCUCUUCAUCAACACCAAGAGCAACCUCGGAGUAUGCCCAAAGAUCCACGACCCGGCCCUAAAGCAAAGCUUCGAGUCCUCCCCCCGCUACGCCGCCGUCCUCCCCAAAUUCGAGGCUGACCUCGCCCACCGCUGCGAGAGGCUGGUCCAGGACCUGGAUAAGAAGAUCAGGCGCGGCCGCGACAGGCUUGCGCAGGACGUCGUGGAGGUGCCGCCCCCCGCCGCCCAUGCCGAGAAGGUCGAGCAGCUCGCCAUUCUCGAAGACAAGAUCAAGAAGCUGCUCGAGCAGAUUGAGCAGCUCGGCGACACCGGCAAGAUCGACGAGGCCACUGCGCUCAUGAGGAAGGUGGACAUUCUCAACCUCGAGAAGUCGGCUCUGACCCACCAGAUAGAGACCAAGCUCUCCAUGGUCCCGCAAGAGAAGAAGAUGGAGCUCUGCGAGCAGUGCGGCUCCUUUCUCGUCACCAACGACGUCCUUGAGAGGACGCAGUCCCAUGUCACCGGCAAACAGCACAUUGGUUAUGGUCUGGUCAGGGAAUUCCUCGCCGAAUACAAGGCUGCGAAAGAAGCGGAGAAGCUUGCAAGGGAGAAGGAAGCAGAGGAGCGUCAGAACCGGGAGAGAGGAUACCAUAACAGAGGCCACCGCGACGACUAUAGGGAGAGAUCCAGGGAGCAUGACCGUGACCGCUACUAUGAGCGAGGAAGCCGUGACAGAGAGAGGCCCUAUGAGCAGGGAGGUAGAGGGUCAGACUAUAGAGGCGGUUCCUAUAAUAGCCGCAGGGAUUCUGAAAGGGCGAGGCCCAGAGAUAGGAACGGUGGUGAUUUUUCAAGAAGAGGAGACCCGGGGAGGGUGAGGAGCAGGUCCCGGUCUCCAGGCAGGCAUGGUUAUUAAUCAUUUCAAGUUAUAUGAGACUCAUGAGGUAGACCAUUAUGCUCCUUUGCUUAUUCAUUCAGUCACAAUGUCUGAGUGUUGUCAUGAUUAAAUUUAAACCUUACUCUGCUCUAGCAGCUCUUUGUUGAAACCAUACCCCUAUGGUCUUCCUUUUAUUAUAGAGAGGAUAAAAAACAGAGGAAGGUACCAUCUGUUUCUUGGCAAUAUUUCUGUGUUUAUUACAUCUUACGUGCACUCUGAGAUUGUGUUUCCAGUCUAGGAACUGAGAAAAUGUUGUUUGAUAUGAUAAGAGCUGAAAGCCGUAUGAUGAUACUAUCAUCCUAUCCUAUCCUAGGCAGGUAUUCCGUAACCUCUGUCUGUCUUACAUGUUAAAAUGAUUGAUUGAUUGAUGACAUACAAGGUUUGGUUAGGACCUGGAAGAAACACUAGACAGGUAACCUCCAUCUUAUACAUGUUAAAAUGAUUGAUGAUAUAUACAAGGUUGGGUCGGACCGGACCUGGAAGAAACAGUAGGAAGGUAACCCGUAACCUCCAUCUUAUACUACAUGUUAAAAUGGUUGAUGAUACGACCUGGGAGAACAGUAGGAAGGUAACCCGUAACCUCCAUCUUAUACUACAUGUUAAAAUGGUUGAUGAUACGACCUGGGAGAACAGUAGGAAGGUAACCCGUAAUCUCCGUCUUAUACAUGUUAAAAUGAUUGAUGAUAUAUACAAGGCUGGUUCGGACCGGACCUGGAAGAAACAGUAGGAAGGUAAUCCGUCACCUCUGUCUUGCAUGUUAAAAUGGUUGAUGAUACGACCUGGAAGAACAGUAAGCAGGUAACCCGUAACCUGUCUUGCAUGCUGAAUUGAUGACGUAUGGAAGGUUGGGUGGGACCUGGAAAAUUCAGGUAACAUUAUAGUAGAGCGGUUUCUGAAUGCCUAGUCUUGUACGUACAAGAUUUAAUUUGCACUGCCAGUACAGAUUUUGUGUACUGCGCCAGGCAUUUCUUCUUGACAGAUUUUAAGAAAUGACAUUGACUAGUAUCUGCAGUAGGUGUAUGGUACAAUCGUUAAACACGUGGAUUAUUAGGUGUGAUAUGAUGAAAAUUACUAUCGUACAGGGUUGGGUAGGACCUGGAAGAAACAGUAGGCAGGUAACCCGUAACCUCUGUCUUGCAUGUUAAACUGAUGAUGAUAUAUGCAAGGUUGGUUUGUUUAGGACCUGGAAAAUUCAGGUUAACAUUAUAGGGUAUAUGCAAGGUUUCUGAAGGCCCAGUCUUGUACAAGAUUUAAUUUGCACCGCCAGGCAUUUCUUGUCGACAGAUUUUAAGAGAUGACAUUGACUAGUAUCUGCAGUAGGUGUAUCGUACAAUUGUUAAAACACGAGGAUGGCCGACAUUGGGAUUUCUUUCAGUCUAGGAACUGAAAAAUUGUUGUGCGAUAGAGCUGAACGUCUUGAGAUGAUGAUAGCACUAUCAUAUCAUCCUAGUAGGCAGUGCAGUGCAGGUAACACGUAACCUCUGUCUGUCUUGCAUGUUUAAUAAUUGAAAUUGACAUAGAUACAUGGCUGGGUAAGGAGGGGACCUGGAAGAGUGAUUUUUUGGCAGAAGAACAAGAGGAUUGGAUGGUCAACUUGGGACUUGUUUGGUACAUCAACCAGAAGAAUGAAUUACAGUGAGUGUUGUUGGCCGGUGCAUGCCACAGAGAUGAAUGUUAGAUUUCAAUUACAGAAUCACCCUUUCGGGCGUCGCUCGAUGGUUGAGAGUUGAAUUUGAGCUUUGAGCGGACUUGAAACGUUUUGUUCCAACCACCUGAUGCAAAUUUUCUGGCUGUAUUUGGUUCAAAUAUGAAAUGCAGAUCGGUACCUUUGCACUUGUUUCUACCA